AGGUGAUUAGUCUAAGUAAAAUACUUGAUUUCGGCUCAAGAGUCUGUGGUUAAAGUCCACAAUUGCCUAAUGACCCCCACUCACUUUACAAUCUCCUCAGCCUUUCUAUUAGGUAUAAUAGGCUUAGCGUUUCAUCGAACACAUCUCCUCUCUGCCCUUCUCUGUUUAGAAGCCAUAAUACUUGCCCUAUUUAUUGCACUCUCCCUCUGGUCCUUGCAGUUAGAUGCCACUGGCUGUUCAACUGCCCCCAUACUUAUGCUUGCUUUCUCCGCUUGUGAAGCAAGUGCUGGACUAGCCCUACUUGUAGCCACAGCCCGAACACACGGGACAGACCACAUACAAGCCUUAAAUCUUCUACAAUGCUAAAAAUCCUAAUUCCUACUUUAUUUCUUCUCCCAACAACCUGAUUAACGUCAAGUAAAUGACUUUGACCUACUGCUCUAACCCAAAGCAUAUUAAUUGCCUUAGGCAGUAUUACCUGACUAAAUAAUACUACGGAUACCGGAUGGACUGCUCUUAACUCAUAUAUUGGCACAGACCCCCUAUCAACACCUCUACUUGUCCUUUCAUGUUGACUUCUUCCGCUAAUACUCCUUGCAAGUCAAAAUCAUCUUUCGUCAGAACCUAUAAACCGCCAACGUAUAUACAUCACCCUUCUUGCUACCCUGCAGCUUUUUCUUAUUCUAGCCUUUGGUGCUACAGAAAUAAUUAUAUUCUAUGUUAUAUUUGAAGCAACUUUAAUUCCUACUCUUCUAGUAAUUACUCGCUGAGGUAAUCACACAGAACGGCUUAAUGCAGGGACUUAUUUUUUAUUUUAUACAUUAGCGGGAUCUCUACCUCUUUUAGUUGCACUCCUUAUACUUCAAAACAACACAGGGACUUUAUCGCUUCUAAUUAUUCCUUAUGCUAAGCCCCUACUACUAAUGCCCUUCGGUAGUAAAAUCUGAUGAGCUGCUUGCAUGAUCGCUUUCUUAGUAAAAAUACCUCUCUAUGGAAUACAUCUUUGACUUCCCAAAGCCCAUGUAGAAGCACCUGUUGCAGGCUCAAUAGUUCUUGCUGCUGUUCUAUUAAAACUAGGGGGAUACGGGAUGAUACGACUGAUGAUUGUACUUGAUCCUCUCUCCAAAGAAAUAGUUUACCCUUUUAUUGUUCUCGCUCUUUGAGGUGUAAUCAUUACAGGUUCAAUCUGUUUACGUCAAACUGACCUGAAAUCUCUAAUUGCCUACUCCUCUGUUAGUCACAUAGGCCUAGUAGCAGGGGGAAUUUUAAUUCAGACCCCUUGGGGAUUUACAGGGGCAUUAAUUCUAAUGAUUGCUCAUGGCUUAGCCUCAUCAGCUUUAUUCUGCCUUGCUAACACCAACUACGAACGGACUCAUAGCCGGACAAUACUUUUAGCCCGAGGACUUCAAAUUGCCCUUCCACUUAUGACCACAUGAUGAUUUAUUGCUAGCUUAGCUAACCUCGCUCUCCCUCCUCUUCCUAAUCUAAUGGGGGAACUAAUAAUUCUCACCUCCCUUUUUAACUGGUCUGCAUGAACUCUAAUUCUUACCGGGAUUGGAACUCUAAUUACAGCUGCCUACUCCCUGUAUAUAUUCCUAAUAAGUCAGCGAGGGCCUCUGCCUCAACAUAUGCUCGCCCUUCCUCCUUCCUACACACGAGAGCAUUUGUUAAUAGCUCUUCACCUAAUUCCCCUUUUACUUAUUAUUCUUAAGCCCGCCCUUCUAUGAGGCUGAUUUGCCUGUAGAUUUAGUUUAACCAAGACAUUAGAUUGUGAUUCUAAAAAUAGAGGUUAAACCCCUCUAAUCCACCGAGAGAGGCCCGACGGCAAUGAAGACUGCUAACUAUCACCCCCUUGGUUAGACCCCAAGGCUCCCUCGAAGCUCCUAAAGGAUAAUAGCUCAUCCGUUGGUCUUAGGAACCAAAAACUCUUGGUGCAACUCCAAGUAGCAGCUAUGCACCCUACAACUUUAAUAUAUACUUCAAGCCUUUUAUUAAUAUUUGCUGUUCUUCUUUACCCACUUUUAGUAACCUUUACAUCUCUACCAUUAAACAAUGAUUGAGCCUCAUCACACGCAAAAACAGCAGUAAAGUCUGCUUUCUUAAUUAGCUUGGCUCCCCUUUCUCUUUUUCUAAGCACAGGUAUAGAGGCUGUAACUUCUUCGUGAACCUGAAUAGUCACAACUACCCUAGAUAUUACCUUAAGCUUUAAGUUCGACCACUAUUCUAUUAUUUUUAUUCCUAUUGCCCUAUAUGUUACUUGAUCUAUUUUAGAAUUUGCUACAUGAUAUAUGCAUUCCGACCCUUUCAUAAAUCGAUUUUUCAAAUAUCUUCUAACCUUUUUGGUAGCAAUGCUAAUCCUAGUUUCUGCUAAUAACCUGUUUCAGCUAUUUAUUGGCUGAGAGGGUGUUGGAAUUAUAUCUUUCUUACUAAUUGGGUGAUGACACGGCCGAGCAGAUGCAAAUACCGCAGCCCUUCAGGCUGUUCUUUAUAACCGAGUCGGGGAUAUCGGUUUAAUCCUAGGUAUGGCAUGACUAGCUACUAACGUUAACAGCUGGGAUAUUCAACAAAUAUUUAUUUUAAGCAAGAAUUUGGACAUAACUCUCCCUCUACUCGGUUUAAUCUUGGCUGCCACUGGUAAAUCCGCCCAGUUUGGACUUCACCCAUGACUACCAGCCGCAAUAGAAGGUCCAACGCCAGUGUCUGCCCUACUUCAUUCUAGCACAAUAGUUGUAGCAGGAAUUUUUCUCCUAAUUCGGAUGAGCCCUCUUAUAGAAAAUAAUCAGACUGCACUAACUCUCUGUCUCUGUCUAGGAGCCUUAACCACUAUAUUUACUGCUACUUGUGCUCUAACCCAAAACGAUAUUAAGAAAAUCGUUGCUUUUUCAACCUCUAGCCAACUUGGUCUAAUAAUAGUAACUAUUGGAUUAAACCAACCGCAAUUAGCCUUUCUUCAUAUUUGCACUCACGCAUUCUUCAAAGCAAUAUUAUUUUUAUGUUCUGGUUCAGUAAUUCAUAGCCUAAACGAUGAACAAGAUAUUCGGAAAAUAGGAGGACUUCAUCAUUUAGCCCCCUUUACCUCCUCCUGCCUCACCGUGGGAAGCCUGGCCUUAACGGGGACCCCCUUCCUAGCAGGCUUCUUCUCCAAAGAUGCAAUUAUUGAAGCACUAAACACAUCUCACGUAAACGCCUGAGCCCUUACCCUAACACUUAUUGCCACCUCCUUUACUGCUAUUUAUAGCCUUCGAGUUAUCUUUUUUGUUACUAUGGGCACACCCCGCUUUUUACCCCUUUCCCCCAUCAAUGAAAAUAACCCAGCAGUAAUUAAUCCCCUCAAACGCUUAGCGUGAGGCGGUAUCUUUGGGGGCCUAUUAGUGAUACUUAAUAUUAACCUUUUUAAAACACCUGUAUUAACAAUACCUGCAGAACUAAAACUUGCAGCUUUAGCUGUUUCAAUUCUCGGAUUAUUAACCGCGCUUGAAUUAGCAACUCUAACAAGCAAACAAUUUAAAGUUACACCUCUACGAACUCCGCACCACUUCUCUACAUCUUUAGGGUUCGUCCCAGCAAUUAUUCACCGCCAAAUUCCUCAACUCAGCCUCCUUCUAGGACAAAAAAUUGCUAGCCAGAUAGUAGAUCAGACAUGACUAGAAAAGACUGGUCCCAAAGCUAUUGCUAAUGCUACCACCCCUCUAGCCUCUGCAACAAGCAACAUACAACAAGGAUUAAUUAAGACCUACCUGACCCUAUUCCUUAUAACCCUUGUUCUAGUCACUCUUAUUUCCGCCACCUAAACGGCACGCAGCGCUCCCCGGGCCAGGCCCCGAGUUAAUUCUAGUACUACUAAGAGUGUUAGCAAGAGGACUCACGCACUUACUACAAGUAAUCCGCCACCUAAAGAAUAUAUUAGAGCUACACCACCCGAGUCUGCAGCCACAACAGAAAAUUCAAUUAACUCAUCUACAGGUACUCACAUCCCCUCAUAUCACCCUCCCCAAAAUCAAGAGCCUGCACCCACAACUAAUAGUAAAUAACCUAACACAGAUCCUAAUACCGAUCACUCCCCCCAUGCUUCGGGGUAAGGCUCUGCAGCUAAAGCUGCACAAUAAGCAAACACAACAAGCAUGCCCCCAAGAUAAAUUAAGAAAAGCACAAGGGACAAGAAGGACCCUCCAUGCCCUAUUAAUACCACACAUCCUACGCCUGCUACUAAGACCAGUCCUAAAGCAGCGAAAUACGGGGAAGGGUUUGAGGCUACCGAAAUAACACCAAGAACUAUCCCAAUUAAAAGAGUCAAUAUAAUAUACGCCAUAAUUCCUGCCCGGAUCUUAACCAGGACUAAUGAUAUGAAAAACCACCGUUGUUAUUCAACUACAAGAACCUUAAUGGCCAGCCUUCGGAAAACCCAUCCAAUCCUAAAAAUUGCUAAUAGCGCAUUAGUUGAUCUCCCCGCCCCCUCCAAUAUCUCAGUAUGAUGAAAUUUUGGCUCUCUUCUAGGCCUUUGCUUAAUUACUCAACUUCUAACAGGACUAUUUCUAGCCAUACACUAUACCUCAGACAUCGAGACAGCCUUCUCAUCCGUAGUCCACAUCUGUCGUGAUGUAAACUACGGCUGACUAAUUCGGAAUAUACAUGCUAAUGGUGCCUCUUUCUUUUUCAUUUGUCUUUAUAUGCACAUUGCCCGAGGUCUCUAUUAUGGUUCCUAUCUUUUUGUAGAGACAUGAAACAUCGGGGUUGUCCUUUUCCUUUUAGUAAUAAUAACCUCUUUCGUAGGUUAUGUCCUCCCCUGAGGACAAAUAUCAUUCUGAGGAGCUACCGUAAUUACGAAUUUAAUAUCUACUGUUCCUUAUGUAGGUGAUGCCUUAGUUCAAUGGAUCUGAGGAGGUUUCUCAGUAGAUAAUGCUACCCUAACUCGGUUUUUUGCAUUCCAUUUCUUAUUCCCCUUUGUUGUUGCUGCUUUUACAAUACUCCACCUACUUUUUCUCCAUGAAACAGGCUCAAAUAAUCCCACAGGAAUCAAUUCAAAUGCAGACAAAAUUCCAUUCCACCCAUAUUUCACCUACAAAGACCUGCUUGGCUUUGCUGUGAUGCUUCUGGGCUUAACCGCCCUCGCCCUCUUCGCACCUAAUUUACUCGGAGAUCCAGAUAAUUUCACCCCUGCUAACCCCAUCGUUACCCCACCUCAUGUUAAGCCCGAAUGAUAUUUCUUGUUUGCCUAUGCCAUCUUACGCUCUAUUCCAAAUAAGCUAGGUGGCGUACUUGCACUCCUAUUCUCGAUUCUAGUCCUCAUGGUUGUACCCUUUCUCCAUACGUCAAAACAACGAGGUUUAACAUUCCGCCCUCUUACCCAAAUACUAUUCUGAGUCCUCGUUGCAGAUAUACUAGUUCUUACAUGAAUUGGAGGCGUACCUGUAGAACACCCCUUCAUUAUCAUCGGACAAGUGGCAUCAGUACUAUAUUUCUCCCUCUUCCUAGUUUUAUUCCCCCUUGCAGGAAUAACUGAAAAUAAGGCCCUUGAAUGAAACUGCCCUAGUAGCUCAGUAUAGAGCGCCGGCCUUGUAAGCCGGAGGCCGGGGGCUAAAUUCCUCCCUAGUGCUACAUCUAAUUAUUACCGGAGGACGCCCCAUAAUUCAUCAUCCACCGGAGGCUGCCCCAUGGAUCAAAAUACCACUCAGAGGGAAGAGAUUUUAACUCCCACCACUAGCUCCCAAAGCUAGAAUUCUAAAUUAAACUACCCUCUGAAUACCACUAAAUAAUCGCCGCCGCCCUUUUUAAAAUCUGAAUACCACUAAAUAAUCGCCGCCGCCCUUUUUAAAAUCUGAAUACCACUAAAUAAUCGCCGCCGCCCUUUUUAAAAUCUGAAUACCACUAAAUAAUCGCCGCCGCCCUUUUUAAAAUAUUGAUUUUCGCUUGAGCUUACCCCUCCUUUUUUCUCCCCCCCCCCCUGCCUCAUAAUAUGUCCUAGAGAUCAUAUUCUUUUUAGUAAAUUAUUAUUUAUACAUAUGUAUAAUCACCAUUAAUUAAGUUAACCAUACAAGGAGAAAUAAUCAUGAAAAGUCAAGCAUUCAGGAUAAAACAACAAUAUAUUUAUAGAACAAAUAUGGUUAUUUUAACCAAUUUAUGGAAUUUAGUGCAAGAAAUUGUAAACAUAACCGGACUUUCCUUGCCAAGGCAAACUGUCCAAUGAAGGUGAGGGACACGUAUUGAAGACCUGCAUUCCGUAACACGUUUCCUGGCUAUUCUGCCUAGCUUCAGGUCCAUUGCUUGACAAUCGCUCAUAAUUUGCACUUUUGUACAUCUCUUAAUGUCUAUACACAUAUAUACUAUAAUCACUCCCCAUGCCGGGCGUUCUUUCUAAUGGGCUACGGGUUUCUUUUUUUUUCUUCAAGUCAUUUGACAUUUCAGCAGUGCAGAGCGUCGACGCCGGACAAGGUGGAGCUAGUCCUCGGUUUAUAGAUAUAUAAAAUUAUUUAUUUAGGUCCCCAUAAAGAAUAAUUACAUUAAAGUUUUUCAAGAGCAUAAGGCUAAAAAUUUUCUCGAUGAGUCCCUAAUAUCUACAUUUUACCCCCUUUGUUUUUGUGCGUAAACCCCCCCUCCCCCCAGUUCUCCUGAGAUUACUAAUAUUCCUGUAAACCCCCCGGAAACAGGAAAAUCCCUAGAACUGAGUUUUUUUUAUCAAAAUAUGACCAAUAAUGUAUAAAUUUGUUGUUAUUGCAUUAUUGCAAAUUAUUAAAAUUU
rnacentral:tRNA from 1 species